rnacentral:rRNA from 1 species
AGAUUGAACGCUGGCGGCAUGCCUUACACAUGCAAGUCGAACGGCAGCACGGGAGCAAUCCUGGUGGCGAGUGGCGAACGGGUGAGUAAUACAUCGGAACGUGCCCAAUCGUGGGGGAUAACGCAGCGAAAGCUGUGCUAAUACCGCAUAAGAUCUACGGAUGAAAGCAGGGGAUCGCAAGACCUUGCGCGAAUGGAGCGGCCGAUGGCAGAUUAGGUAGUUGGUGAGGUAAAGGCUCACCAAGCCUUCGAUCUGUAGCUGGUCUGAGAGGACGACCAGCCACACUGGGACUGAGACACGGCCCAGACUCCUACGGGAGGCAGCAGUGGGGAAUUUUGGACAACGGGCGAAAGCCUGAUCCAGCCAUGCCGCGUGCAGGAUGAAGGCCUUCGGUGUAACUGCUUUGUACGGAACGAAAGUACUCUUUCUAAUAAAGAGGAUCAUGACGUACCGUAAGAAUAAGACACCGACUAACUACGUAGACCG